UAUACAAUUAUAAGCACAGAGAGCGUGACGGAUCUUCAAGUUUAUGACCAUUUUACGAUAUUUUGUUGUGUUCGCGGUGGAGGAAUUAAAAUAAGAAUAACUAUCGGUGCACAUUUUAUCGAUCGUACGAAGCACAAACAAUAAAAAUUCAAACUUUUUACCACGAAUUCGCUUGUUAUACUACCGGAUGACCGGAUGGGGGAGGAG